rnacentral:lncRNA from 1 species
ACUCAUCCGACCGAAGAACAGCAUGCAGACCCCCCCUCCCACGUUGAGGGUCCUUCGACUGCGUUUGAGGGAGAGACGCCUAACCGAGGGAACCUUUUUUUUUUUUUUUUUUUUUUUUUUUUUAAUAUAUACUAUUAUUAUUAAUCAGCCGGUCAAACCGGAAUUCAGUUUCGGUACAAGCUUGAUUCAUAUUUCUAAAUCAACCAUUACAAGAAUAGCUUCGCUCGCCCACUUAACCGACGCCAUCCGCUAAUCUGUUUCGGAGAUCUUCGAAAAUACAAUCCCUGUUCUCAACCAUUGAUGUUGACCGCAAGAAGGUGGGGUUUACCUCGUUGCCUCGGAUGCCGGACUUCUCGUGACAUCGCCGGAGUAGCUAGAUCAUGUUAAUCUCCUCAAACUCGUACUUCAACUGAUCAUUUAAGCUCUUGACUCGAAUGGAUGAAAGUAAGAGAUAGCAAACCAUAACAGACGCCACCGGAACUUACUACACCAUGGACUGGGGAGGAAUGAGCACACCAUGAACCGCGAACAGUGUAGGCAGCGCAGAACCUCCGGACAAAGCGGGCUGAGAUGAAGGCAAUCCAAACACCGCGCUUCAGUACCUGCAAUAAGAAAGAGAAAAGCCUGCAAAGAUCACCAAGGAGCAAUCUGAGCACUGGGAUGGCUAUAUGCUCUAAUCAAGUCACCCCGUCGAACUAGGAACAAUCUGACUCAACGGAAGGUUCCAACCGACGCCUUGACCCGAAACUAGAGAACCUAGCUCGGUCUUCUUGCGCUUCAGAGCUACGCCUCGCUGGUGAAACGAAGAAAUAGCCGUUGAGGCGGCACCAAAGGCUCACAACCAUAUGCGAAACGGAAAGAGCAACAACACAGGUUUGAAAGUGAAGCGGACAAGCAAGCAGAGAGAGAGUCAUCGGAGGCGCAUCUGACUCUGCCAUAGGGAACCUUGUUGCUGAAGAUAAUGCUCCUUUGCUCGUACUUUCGGACACUUCGGCUGAAGGAUCCCGUCGAGGCAAUGAAGGAGAGAAUGUGGGGAUGCUUGAAGAGGUCCCGAGAUCAGAUGAGAUGCACGUCUCUCCGGUUGCUCGCGAGUCGAGUGUUAGGGCUUCAGAACUUUCUGCCCU